rnacentral:rRNA from 1 species
UACGUAGGGCGCAAGCGUUAUCCGGAAUUAUUGGGCGUAAAGAGCUCGUAGGCGGUUUGUCGCGUCUGCCGUGAAAGUCCGGGGCUCAACUCCGGAUCUGCGGUGGGUACGGGCAGACUAGAGUGAUGUAGGGGGAGACUGGAAUUCCUGGUGUAGCGGUGAAAUGCGCAGAUAUCAGGAAGAACACCAAUGCGAAAGCAGCUUUCUGGGACGGACUGACGCUGAGACGCGAAAGCGUGGGGAGCGAACAGG